rnacentral:rRNA from 1 species
CAGUCGCCACGGUAAAACGAAGGGGGCUAGCGUUGCUCGGAAUGACUGGGCGUAAAGGGCGCGUAGGCGGUUUGUACAGUUGGGUGUGAAAUUCCCGAGCUCAACCUGGGGGCUGCGUUUGAUACUUGGUUGCUUGAGUGGGGAAGAGGGUCGUGGAAUUCCUAGUGUAGAGGUGAAAUUCGUAGAUAUUGGGAAGAACACCGGUGGCGAAGGCGGCGACCUGGUCCUUGACUGACGCUGAGGCGCGAAAGCGUGGGGAGCAAACAGGAUUAGAUACCCCGGUAGUCCCUGUCUCUUAUAC